rnacentral:rRNA from 1 species
AUUGAACGCUGGCGGCAGGCUUAACACAUGCAAGUCGAGCGGAGUGAUGGUGCUUGCACUAUCACUUAGCGGCGGACGGGUGAGUAAUGCUUAGGAAUCUGCCUAUUAGUGGGGGACAACAUCUCGAAAGGGAUGCUAAUACCGCAUACGUCCUACGGGAGAAAGCAGGGGAUCACUUGUGACCUUGCGCUAAUAGAUGAGCCUAAGUCGGAUUAGCUAGUUGGUGGGGUACAGGCCUACCAAGGCGACGAUCUGUAGCGGGUCUGAGAGGAUGAUCCGCCACACUGGGACUGAGACACGGCCCAGACUCCGACGGGAGGCAGCAGUGGGGAAUGUUGGUCAAUGGGGGGAACCCUGAUCCAGCCAUGCCGCGUGUGUGAAGAAGGCCUUAUGGUUGUAAAGCACUUUAAGCGAGGAGGAGGCUCUUUUGGUUAAUACCCAAGAUGAGUGGACGUUACUCGCAGAAUAAGCACCGGCUAACUCUGUGCCAGCAGCCGCAGUAA